CCGAAUUGGAGAGAAAAUAAAAGGGGUUUAAAGCUUGUUUCAUUCGGCACUUUCAAGCUUUGAUUAAGGUAGGGAUUUUGUUCGGUUUUUGAUGAUUUUUAUGUUUUUGAGAUCGUUGCUUCGAUUACUAUUUGACCCAUGCUUGAAUUUUUGAUUUUGAUGAAUAUUUUGAGCUAUGCCAUUGAUGAAUGCUUGAGUUUUAUGAUGUUAGUAGGUGAAAUAUGAAAUAUAUUUGUUAGAUUAAUAUAUUUUGUAUUGGAAUUUUUAGUGAAAUUGAGUAAAUAGGGCUAAAUUGUGAAAUUAAAUUUUU
rnacentral:lncRNA from 1 species